AGCCUUUCGGGGCUUAGUGGCGGACGGGUGAGUAACGCGUGAGAAUCUGGCCUCAGGAUGGGGACAACGACUGGAAACGGUCGCUAAUACCCGAUGUGCCUAGCGGUGAAAGAUUUAUCGCCUGAGGAUGAGCUCGCGUCCGAUUAGCUAGUUGGUAGUGUAAGAGACUACCAAGGCGACGAUCGGUAGCUGGUCUGAGAGGAUGACCAGUCACACUGGAACUGAGAGACGGUCCAGACUCCUACGGGAGGCAGCAGUGGGGAAUUUUCCGCAAUGGGCGCAAGCCUGACGGAGCAAGACCGCGUGGGGGAUGAAGGUUUGUGGAUUGUAAACCCCUUUUAUCAGGGAAGAAGUACUGACGGUACCUGAUGAAUAAGCCUCGGCUAACUCCGUGCCAGCAGCCGCGGUAAUACGGAGGAGGCAAGCGUUAUCCGGAAUUAUUGGGCGUAAAGCGUCCGUAGGUGGCUAUACGUGUCAGUUGUUAAAGAAUGGGGCUUAACUCCAUAUAGGCGAUUGAAACUGUAUAGCUAGAGAGUGGUAGGGGCAAGGGGAAUUCCCAGUGUAGCGGUGAAAUGCGUAGAUAUUGGGAAGAACACCGGUGGCGAAAGCGCCUUGCUGGGCC
rnacentral:rRNA from 1 species